AUGAAGGGGGGCCAUUACAAGAAGGAGAGCCAUGUGCUGCUCUACAGUCAGAGAGAUAGGGUGGGAUUUCACAGGCUAGCAGCACAUGCUCUCACCACGCUGAGAGCUGAAAGAUGUAUAGUACACGUGUGUGUUUGCAGUAGAAGGCCAUGGCGUCUUGGGACUGUCGCUUUUGAGGAAAAGGCAAGUGUUCAGGGGUGUCAAAGGACCAGAGCUGUGACUCUAAAGAAGAGACGGCGAGUGGGACAUACACAUCGGACUCUCUGACAAUGCCGGCUCAGGUUCCUGUGAGUUUGCCAUGGCGACCAGUGGGCCCUGACAGCAGCGGGGAUCACGGUCUUGCAGAGGAAGGGUGUGUAUGUGUGUGCGUGUAGCUGAGGGGGUGUGGGGUUAUUGGGGGACACACGCCAGAUGCCUUGGGGAGACGCCCUUCAGCUCACCAGCUGGGAGAGGCUAAACUGCCCCUCACGCGAUGGUUUUCGGCCUUAACGGAUUAGUUUUAGAGUUUUAGUGUUUACGGCACACUUUGGCUAUCAUACGCUCACCAACACAAAAACAAUAGUGAUAUAAAAUAGCGCUUUUCAGCUGGUUUUGUUUCAGGACACAUAUUUUACUGUAGAAAUGAUGUGGUGACACAAAACUGUAGCAAAAUUGUUUUAUCGUAUAAAAAAAUUAAAAUGGUCUUAAAGUUACCAUUCGAAUCAAAAUGGUCAAUUCCUAUUUACGGAGCAUUGGAAUUUUAUUAUAGAUUAAAUUAGUUUCUCUUACAUUCUAAAUAGUAAAGAUUACAAUAGGGGUUUUCACAGUGAUGCCAUAGAAUAACUGUUUUGGUUUCAUUUUGAACCUAAAAAAAAAAAAAAAUCUUUUUGGUUCCCCAUAGAACCUUUUAGCAAAAUGUUCUUAAAAGAACCAUUUUUUUUUUACUUGAACAUUUUACAAGUCCAAAGAUCCUAUUUCCACUCUAAAGAACUUUUUGUGUAAUGGAUAGUUUUCAAGGACUAUUAAGGUUCCAUAGAUGCCAAUAAAGCCAAAAAACUAUUUUCUUUAUUAUUUUUUUAUUUUUUACAAACUGUAAUUCACAUGAGAUUGAAAAACGACAAUGAUUGGUUCCCGAUGGACAGAAUCAUGUCCCGCCCAACAUUUUUGUUUCCCUCAUUCGAGAACCCAUUUCUUUUACAUAUGUGUCAAAAAAGAUUGACUUUUGUUUCAUGCUGACUUUAAAAAUCAAACAUUGACAUUCAUCAAUAUUAGCCUAAACAAUAAUGACAUAGACUGAACAAGAAAAUUGUUGUUUGAUAUGUUUGAUGAAUUCGAUAGUUUCACGCUCCCAACAUUUAAUAAUUCAUGCUAAUAAAACACGGCCAGUGCAAACCAUGUUCAUCCUGCAAACUAUAUUUAAUAUAGUCUAUUCGAUGCAUUUAUUUUACCUUGCAAAAUUUCAUUCAUGGUUCUCAAAGAUAAGAGUAUUUCAUGCAAACUGUCCAUGUUAGCAUCAAAUACUGCUAAGUUUGAUUUUGAAGACAGCAUGAAACAAAAAUGUAUCUUUAAUCUUAUUGUGAAUGUAAACAAUUCACCAGUGCAUUUUUUGACUUCGUAAUUAGAAUGUCACAAUGUAACCAUGGUGACGUAUUCUCCAAUCAUUCCGUCUACUUAAACUCGAUCCCUUUGCAAAUCUUCUGCAAUCUCCAGUCCAAUCAGCAACUGAUGGAUAUAACCAAGUCUCCACCCUAUAUUUUCUGUUUUGAUAAUCCAUAACACUUGACUGUACAUGACAAUAUGGAAGAAAAGAUCUGUUUUGCAUGUUCGCAUUGUUUUGAUUCUGCCACAUUUGAUAAUGAAUUGACCUGCGACCUACUUUUGGCUCACAAUCCACCAAUUGAGAACCACUGAUAAUGCUCAGUUUAAA
ensembl:lncRNA